rnacentral:rRNA from 1 species
UGGGGAAUCUUGGGCAAUGGGGGGAACCCUGACCCAGCGACGCCGCGUGAGGGAAGAAGGUUUUCGGAUUGUAAACCUCUGUUCUUGGUGAAGAGUAUAAGACGGUAGCCAAGGAGGAAGCCCCGGCUAACUACGUGCCAGCAGCCGCGGUAAUACGUAGGGGGCGAGCGUUGUCCGGAAUGAUUGGGCGUAAAGGGCGCGUAGGCGGCGACAUAAGUCUGAAGUGAAAGUCCCAAAUUCAAGUUAGGAAUUGCUUUGGAAACUAUAUUGCUUGAGUGCAGGAGAGGUCAUCGGAAUUCCCGGUGUAGCGGUGAAAUGCGUAGAGAUCGGGAGGAACACCAGUGGCGAAGGCGGGUGGCUGGACUGUAACUGACGCUGAUGCGCGAAAGUGUGGGGAGCAAACAGG